UUCUCCCUACGGGGCGCAGCAGUGAGGAAUAUUGGUCAAUGGCCGGAAGGCUGAACCAGCCAAGUCGCGUGAGGGAAUAAGGCCCUAUGGGUCGUAAACCUCUUUUGUCAGGGAGCAAAGGCGUCCACGAGUGGACGAAAGGAGAGUACCUGAAGAAAAAGCAUCGGCUAACUCCGUGCCAGCAGCCGCGGUAAUACGGAGGAUGCGAGCGUUAUCCGGAUUUAUUGGGUUUAAAGGGUGCGUAGGCGGAAUAUCAAGUCAGCGGUAAAAAUUCGGGGCUCAACCCCGUCGUGCCGUUGAAACUG
rnacentral:rRNA from 1 species